CCAAAAACAAAACUAAAUGAUUCAUAGGAAAAUAUAUUAAAUUUAUAUGACAUGUCAAUCAUUGUCAUGACACAAGGUAGCCCCUAGACGUAACAUGACGUAUAAGACCCCGAGAGGCCCCAUACAAGACACUUAGCUUUCAUCAUUUAAAAGACAGUUUCAACAUAAAUUAGUUUUAUAGAAAAAAAUCAGAAAUCUAAACAUCUUCUCAAAACCAUCUACUAGAUAAGGGUUUAUCGGGGCUUAGCCCGUACAUCAAGUUCCAAAACUAAAACUAAAGUCAAAAGGGAAAUCAAACUCGGUCCUCAAAAUAUGAGGACUCACCAAAC
rnacentral:lncRNA from 1 species